CUUGGUCAUUUAGAGGAAGUAAAAGUCGUAACAAGGUUUCCGUAGGUGAACCUGCGGAAGGAUCAUUAACGAGAACUUGCCCUCCGGGGUAGAUCUCCCACCCUCUGUUUACAUACUUUGUUGCUUUGGCAGGCCCGUCUCCGGACCGCCGGCUUCGGCUGGCCCGUGCCUGCCAGAGGAUUCAAAACUCUGAUAACUAUGUCGUCUGAGUACUAUUAUAAAUAGUUAAAACUUUCAACAACGGAUCUCUUGGUUCUGGCAUCGAUGAAGAACGCAGCGAAAUGCGAUAAGUAAUGUGAAUUGCAGAAUUCAGUGAAUCAUCGAAUCUUUGAACGCACAUUGCGCCCUCUGGUAUUCCGGGGGGCAUGCCUGUUCGAGCGUCAUUACAACCCUCAAGCUCUGCUUGGUGCUGGGCCUCGCCGGUUCCGGCGGGCCUCAAAAUCAGUGGCGGUGCCGUCUGGCUUCAAGCGUAGUAAUUCUUCUCGCUUCAGGAGACCCAGGUGUGUGCUUGCCAGCAAACCCCAACUUCUAUGGUUGACCUCGGAUCAGGUAGGGAUACCCGCUGAACUUAAGCAUAUCAAUAAGCGGAGGA
rnacentral:rRNA from 1 species